UGUCUUCAACAAACCGCUGUGAGGGGAAUUAAACAGAUCACACUGCGAGCUAACGAGUGUUCUACAAGCAGCGGGGUUACAUGACUGAGCGUUCGACCUGUCAGGAUGAAAAUAUGUCGCUGUACGUCAGAAGAACGUGAGGAAGCCAAUUUUUAAUCACGUUUGAAAUCUCAUUAUUUCACAAAAAAAAAAAGAAGUUAUGCUUUUAUUUUGAAAUGCUGUACUGUCUCUUUAUCUGAGAGUACUUUACUUGCUGUGUGCUUUUAUUUUGAAAUACAGUAAGGCCCUUCCAGUAGAGUUAGGUUAGGACAUGAAGUUGAGCACAAAAACAGGAAGUGGUUAGGGAUCCCAAAGUGAGGUCAAACAGCUCAAAGGAACAGUAACAAAGGUCAAUGUGUGAUGUCAUAAGGUCAAUGUGUGAUGUCAUAAGGUCAAUGUGUGAUGUCAUCAGGUCAGUGUGUGAUGUCAUAAGGUCAGUGUGUGAUGUCAUAAGGUCAGUGUGUGAUGUCAUCAGGUCAGUGUGUGAUGUCAUGAGGUCAAUGUGUGAUGUCAUCAGGUCAAUGUGUGAUGUCAUCAGGUCAAUGUGUGAUGUCAUGAGGUCAGUGUGUGAUGUCAUCAGGUCAGUGUGUGAUGUCAUGAGGUCAAUGUGUGAUGUCAUCAGGUCAGUGUGUGAUGUCAUGAGGUCAAUGUGUGAUGUCAUCAGGUCAGUCAGUGUGUGAUGUCAUCAGGUGGAUAUUACUGUCUGAGAGUUUGUUAAAGUGAAAUGAGACAUUCAAAGAUGCAGCAGUGAGACCACAGGGAGACACUGAGGACGAGUAUCUACGGAGAGCCUGAAGGGACAAA